GUGAGAACCGUUGUUGCUUUAAAGGCUCAAUGAAUCCUUUUCCUCCUCCGAUUCCUUCCAAGCCAGGAUCCGCCCCUCGACGGAAAGGCCUGUUCUUCGGCCGUGAGAAUCGCAGGAGGAAGGGAAAGGAUGGAAAUAGGUCGGGGGAAGAAAAAAAAGAAGAAGAUGAAGAAGUCGGGCUACCUAUAAAGGAGGGAGAGAGUCUCUCGUGGCAUCACAAGUUCUUCUCCCGAUCGCCAUGAAGGUUCUGGUGACUUUCCUCGCAGCAUUAACAGCUGCUGCAGAAUGCAGCAGCUUCUUCCAGACCUACGGCCUCCCUCCCCCACCCCCUAGCCCCCCUCUCCCACCAUACAACGGAGGGGGCAUCUCCUGCCCCGACUGGCAGAUCUUCCAUAACGGAAGAUGCGUCGCCCCCGAAGUCACGAGAAACGUCUACGUCUACAACGUGCCCCACGUUCCAAAGCCCCCCGGGCAAAGACACCCCACCCCACCCCCCAAGGUCGAGCACAACGUGGUCUUCGUCCGGCUGCCCGAGGAAUUCGGAGACGAAGACCCCAUCGUGGUUCCUCCUCCCCAGCAGAAGAACAUCGUCUACGUCCUGAAGAAGAAGUCUGACCGUGACGGAACUGACGUCAUCCACGUCCCGGCUCCUCCCAAGAGCAGCCCAGAGGUGUACUUCGUGAAUGUUGGCCAGGGGGAGAACCCUCUUCUACCGACGGGGGAGGACCUCCAGAGCGCCUUGUCCAAGGGCGGCGCCGAGUUCACCGCCCAGGUCGUAGGGGGAGGAGAUUCGUUUGGGCACAAGAUCAUCACCAACAAUGGGCAUCAGGAGAUCCACACCAUCUAUGGGCCUCCAGACAUCACUACCAUCUAUGAUCCUCCUGUAAAUCCACCUUCCGUCGUGUACAGCUCGCCAUAAUUACUUCCUUAGUCGAAGUUGCUUCAGUUCAAACUCAAAUUCAAAAGUGUAUUCAUGCACAUGAAUACACUUAUUAAACAAAUGAAAAAAUAUAUGAGCUGGUGAAAAUAACUUAUCCCCCGGGUCUUAUCACCUGGGUCUUUUGACUGCUCAAGUUAUGUGUGAUGUUUUCCAUUACGUCGAAAUAUAUUGAUUUAAUCAUC